rnacentral:rRNA from 1 species
GGUUAAGCGACUAAGCGUACACGGUGGAUGCCCUGGCAGUCAGAGGCGAUGAAGGGCGUGCUAAUCUGCGAUAAGCGCCGGUAAGGUGAUAUGAACCGUUAUAACCGGCGAUACCCGAAUGGGGAAACCCAGUGUGACUCGUCACACUAUCAUUAACUGAAUCCAUAGGUUAAUGAGGCGAACCGGGGGAACUGAAACAUCUAAGUACCCCGAGGAAAAGAAAUCAACCGAGAUUCCCCCAGUAGCGGCGAGCGAACGGGGAGGAGCCCAGAGCCUGAAUCAGCAUGUGUGUUAGUGGAAGCGUCUGGAAAGGCGCGCGAUACAGGGUGACAGCCCCGUACACAAAAGCGCAUGUGCUGUGAGCUCGAUGAGUAGGGCGGGACACGUGGUAUCCUGUCUGAAUAUGGGGGGACCAUCCUCCAAGGCUAAAUACUCCUGACUGACCGAUAGUGAACCAGUACCGUGAGGGAAAGGCGAAAAGAACCCCGGCGAGGGGAGUGAAAAAGAACCUGAAACCGUGUACGUACAAGCAGUGGGAGCCUCUUUUAUGGGGUGACUGCGUACCUUUUGUAUAAUGGGUCAGCGACUUAUAUUCUGUAGCAAGGUUAACCGUAUAGGGGAGCCGGAGGGAAACCGAGUCUUAAUUGGGCGUUAAGUUGCAGGGUAUAGACCCGAAACCCGGUGAUCUAGCCAUGGGCAGGUUGAAGGUUGGGUAACACUAACUGGAGGACCGAACCGACUAAUGUUGAAAAAUUAGCGGAUGACCUGUGGCUGGGGGUGAAAGGCCAAUCAAACCGGGAGAUAGCUGGUUCUCCCCGAAAGCUAUUUAGGUAGCGCCUCGUGAAUUCAUCUCCGGGGGUAGAGCACUGUUUCGGCUAGGGGGUCAUCCCGACUUACCAACCCGAUGCAAACUGCGAAUACCGGAGAAUGUUAUCACGGGAGACACACGGCGGGUGCUAACGUCCGUCGUGAAGAGGGAAACAACCCAGACCGCCAGCUAAGGUCCCAAAGUCAUGGUUAAGUGGGAAACGAUGUGGGAAGGCCCAGACAGCCAGGAUGUUGGCUUAGAAGCAGCCAUCAUUUAAAGAAAGCGUAAUAGCUCACUGGUCGAGUCGGCCUGCGCGGAAGAUGUAACGGGGCUAAACCAUGCACCGAAGCUGCGGCAGCGACACUGUGUGUUGUUGGGUAGGGGAGCGUUCUGUAAGCCUGUGAAGGUGGCCUGUGAGGGUUGCUGGAGGUAUCAGAAGUGCGAAUGCUGACAUAAGUAACGAUAAAGCGGGUGAAAAGCCCGCUCGCCGGAAGACCAAGGGUUCCUGUCCAACGUUAAUCGGGGCAGGGUGAGUCGACCCCUAAGGCGAGGCCGAAAGGCGUAGUCGAUGGGAAACGGGUUAAUAUUCCCGUACUUGGUGUUACUGCGAAGGGGGGACGGAGAAGGCUAUGUUGGCCGGGCGACGGUUGUCCCGGUUUAAGCGUGUAGGUGUGUGUUCCAGGUAAAUCCGGUUCACUUUAACACUGAGGCGUGACGACGAGGCACUACGGUGCUGAAGCAACAAAUGCCCUGCUUCCAGGAAAAGCCUCUAAGCAUCAGGUAACAUCAAAUCGUACCCCAAACCGACACAGGUGGUCAGGUAGAGAAUACCAAGGCGCUUGAGAGAACUCGGGUGAAGGAACUAGGCAAAAUGGUGCCGUAACUUCGGGAGAAGGCACGCUGACACGUAGGUGAAGUGAUUUACUCACGGAGCUGAAGUCAGUCGAAGAUACCAGCUGGCUGCAACUGUUUAUUAAAAACACAGCACUGUGCAAACACGAAAGUGGACGUAUACGGUGUGACGCCUGCCCGGUGCCGGAAGGUUAAUUGAUGGGGUCAGCGCAAGCGAAGCUCCUGAUCGAAGCCCCGGUAAACGGCGGCCGUAACUAUAACGGUCCUAAGGUAGCGAAAUUCCUUGUCGGGUAAGUUCCGACCUGCACGAAUGGCGUAAUGAUGGCCAGGCUGUCUCCACCCGAGACUCAGUGAAAUUGAACUCGCUGUGAAGAUGCAGUGUACCCGCGGCAAGACGGAAAGACCCCGUGAACCUUUACUAUAGCUUGACACUGAACAUUGAGCCUUGAUGUGUAGGAUAGGUGGGAGGCUUUGAAGCGUGGACGCCAGUCUGCGUGGAGCCGACCUUGAAAUACCACCCUUUAAUGUUUGAUGUUCUAACGUGGACCCGUGAUCCGGGUUGCGGACAGUGUCUGGUGGGUAGUUUGACUGGGGCGGUCUCCUCCUAAAGAGUAACGGAGGAGCACGAAGGUUGGCUAAUCCUGGUCGGACAUCAGGAGGUUAGUGCAAUGGCAUAAGCCAGCUUGACUGCGAGCGUGACGGCGCGAGCAGGUGCGAAAGCAGGUCAUAGUGAUCCGGUGGUUCUGAAUGGAAGGGCCAUCGCUCAACGGAUAAAAGGUACUCCGGGGAUAACAGGCUGAUACCGCCCAAGAGUUCAUAUCGACGGCGGUGUUUGGCACCUCGAUGUCGGCUCAUCACAUCCUGGGGCUGAAGUAGGUCCCAAGGGUAUGGCUGUUCGCCAUUUAAAGUGGUACGCGAGCUGGGUUUAGAACGUCGUGAGACAGUUCGGUCCCUAUCUGCCGUGGGCGCUGGAGAACUGAGGGGGGCUGCUCCUAGUACGAGAGGACCGGAGUGGACGCAUCACUGGUGUUCGGGUUGUCAUGCCAAUGGCACUGCCCGGUAGCUAAAUGCGGAAGAGAUAAGUGCUGAAAGCAUCUAAGCACGAAACUUGCCCCGAGAUGAGUUCUCCCUGAGACUUAAAGUCUCCUGAAGGAACGUUGAAGACGACGACGUUGAUAGGCCGGGUGUGUAAGCGCAGCGAUGCGUUGAGCUAACCGGUACUAAUGAACCGUGAGGCUUAACCUU